GCCGGGAUAGCCUAGCCUGGUGGGGCGGGGGACUCGUAAUCCCCAGGUCCCGGGUUCAAAUCCCGGUCCCGGCU
rnacentral:tRNA from 3 species